GCAUGUUGUGAAGUUAGGAUUUAGCUCAAAGGCUACGUACAGCCGAACUCUUAGUCUUAUUUUCUGAGCACUUCAGGGACUUCUUGUCCAUCCGAUGUGAUUGAAGGCUCCAGAAUAGCUACAAAAGGGACCUUGUGGUGAGAUUGUUUUGUCAACUACUGUUUCCAUAGUCAAGGAUAAACAUUGAACCUCAGUGCUCAGAACCUAAAGUUCUAAAUGGAAAUUUGAAUAUCUACAGUUCCAUGACAACUAGGUGAACUCAAGAACAGCUACUAAAUGGACCUUGUGGUGAGAUUGUUUUCGAAAGAAAAUAAUUAUUGAGAGAAAUUAAUUCAUUACAACAGGGCAUAUCAAAGCUUUAGCUUCUCCUUUACCUGAGCAGAGCGCCAACUGGAGUUUUAAAGGAGCUCCACAGCCAAGCUCUCUACAGACCACCUCUACAUUUUGAGAGUCAGAAUCACCUUUACAGACUGAGGACCAUGACUGGUUAGCUUUGACCUCCACUCUGCCUGAACACAGAGUAGGUGCAUUCACCAGCCUGACAGACUCUGGACAGGGAGACAGCGAAAGUUUAAGAAACAGAUCCACAGUCCAACUGUCUACACACUAUAGCUGCUGUUCUCAGGUUCCAGCCAAACGAAAUGUCAUCAUCCACUGGUUUCCAGUCAUUGUGGAGUUUCAUUUCCAGUUCACCAGCACAGCGGGUAGCUCCUCCCAUCAACCUGAUGUUACCAGUUUCUGAACGGAGACAAGACAGUAAUCAACACAAAAGAUCCAGUCACUGAAAGUGAAACAUGACUGCUGUUUCCCUUUUUGUUAUCUUCCAUUUACCUGGUGAAUCAUUUUCUUUAGCCUGGAGUCCUGAGGAGAACAAAAGUCAAAGAAUAAACAUGUAUGAAAAGCAGCAUGAUAAUUAGAUCAGAGUUCUAGACAAAACAAACACUCACAAGCUGCUAUAGUAAGCACCAUAGAGGUUUAGGGCUGGUUGCACCUGGUUGUUAGACUCGCCUGGGUUUAGGACCAUCAAGUAUACAGUGGGACCCACAUUUCAACAGAGCGCCACAUUUCAGUAGUGCAAAAUAAUACAAAAACUCAGACCCUGUAUAAAUGAUCUUACAUUUAAAUAGGGUGGACACUAUCAUACUGAGUGUGUUUUACAAAGCAAUAUUGGUGUGGAACAAAAUCUUUCCUGAUGCAUAUUUUGACUUUGUUGCAUAUGUGUAGGGACCCCUAAAAUGUGUAUUGUAUUGAAUAUAGUUAGUAGUAAAAAUAACACAGCAAAUUAAAAUGUAUUUUGUUUUUAUUUUCAAAAUAUGAUGCAACUAUGUAUUUUUUGUUUUUGUUCAUGACCAGUGAGAAAGUGUGUUUAAUACAAGUGUUUUGUUGCUGGCCAAUGAAUGUUGGAAUUGUUGUUGCAUCAUGACGUGAGUUACGUGCGGAAGAAGAAGAAGAAGAAGAAGAAGAAGAAGAAGAAGAAGAAGAAGAAGAAGAAGAAGAAGAAGAAGAAGAAGAAGAAGAAGAAGAAGAAGAAGAAGAAGAAGAAGAAGAAGAAGAAGAAGAAGAAGAAGAAGAAGAAGAAGAAGAAGAAGAAGAAGAAGAAGAACAAGAACAAGAACAUCGCACAUGGAGAGAAGCAGCUGCAUGUGACUCGAUCGCGUGAGACAUGUUGUCAUUUUGGAGACCAGUUACAUUAUCUGUAAUGUAAGGCCCAAAGUGCAAAGGAAACAUUUUAUUCACUUUAUUUUGCUUUACUGCUCAAAGUGAUUUAUUUUUCCUGUUAGUCUCUUCGCGAUUGUUUGAGAACUCCGUGUGUGCUGAUUUCUCAUCAGAUAGAGACAUUUACAUUUGCACACAGUGACUGAUGUGAAGAAGUUCGUUGUGAACUCGUCCUAAAUUCGUUUGGGACCAGACACCUCUAGCAUUUCAUCACUGGAUGCAGCUCGACUGGACUUUGUUUCGUGUGGAUUGAACGGGACUGGAGAAAGUGAGUUUGUGUCGUGAGUGAUUCCAACAUUGCCUCGUCAUUAUCAUCGGAUGGACGUGGGUGAGUUCAUCUACUGAGACUCGUUGACUGUGAGAGAGAUCGCACAGAACCCUUCAGCUUUAUAUGUGCACCAACGGACUGGGCCCCAACGUUAAAGUCCCUGUGGCUUCUCUGUCAUGUCAGCUCACUCUUUACAGCUCUUACUCCAGUUAAGAGCUGAUCUGCAGCACUGUCAUUCCAAUCUACUGUUGAGCCUUUUGGAGGAGCUGCUAGAUAAUCUUAUGACGCCCCUAAAUAUCCAAACAAGGCAGGACGAGUCAAAGUGAAGAGGAUUAUGUUUGGCAGGAUGCAACAAUGUCCUCUGCUCUGUGCUCAGAGGUGAUCGGCAGAUUGAGCUCACAGAAGGUACCAGGCAGUGAAACCAGCAAAGAUGGCCACCCAG